rnacentral:rRNA from 1 species
GACGAACGCUGGCGGCGUGCUUAACACAUGCAAGUCGAACGGAAAGGCCCUGCUUUUGUGGGGUGCUCGAGUGGCGAACGGGUGAGUAACACGUGAGUAACCUGCCCUUGACUUUGGGAUAACUUCAGGAAACUGGGGCUAAUACCGGAUUGGAGCUCCUGCUGCAUGGUGGGGGUUGGAAAGUUUCGGCGGUUGGGGAUGGACUCGCGGCUUAUCAGCUUGUUGGUGGGGUAGUGGCUUACCAAGGCUUUGACGGGUAGCCGGCCUGGGAGGGUGACCGGCCACAUUGGGACUGAGAUACGGCCCAGACUGCUACGGGAGGCAGCAGUGGGGAAUAUUGCACAAUGGGCGGAAGCCUGAUGCAGCAACGCCGCGUGCGGGAUGACGGCCUUCGGGUUGGAAACCGCUUUCGCCUGUGACGAAGCGUGAGUGACGGUAAUGGGUAAAGAAGCACCGGCUAACUACGUG